rnacentral:rRNA from 1 species
GAAGCUUGCUUCCUGAUUUAGCGGCGGACGGGUGAGUAAUGCCUAGGAAUCUGCCUGGUAGUGGGGGAUAACGUUCCGAAAGGAACGCUAAUACCGCAUACGUCCUACGGGAGAAAGCAGGGGACCUUCGGGCCUUGCGCUAUCAGAUGAGCCUAGGUCGGAUUAGCUAGUUGGUGAGGUAAUGGCUCACCAAGGCUACGAUCCGUAACUGGUCUGAGAGGAUGAUCAGUCACACUGGAACUGAGACACGGUCCAGACUCCUACGGGAGGCAGCAGUGGGGAAUAUUGGACAAUGGGCGAAAGCCUGAUCCAGCCAUGCCGCGUGUGUGAAGAAGGUCUUCGGAUUGUAAAGCACUUUAAGUUGGGAGGAAGGGUUGUAGAUUAAUACUCUGCAAUUUUGACGUUACCGACAGAAUAAGCACCGGCUAACUUCGUGCCAGCAGCCGCGGUAAUACGAAGGGUGCAAGCGUUAAUCGGAAUUACUGGGCGUAAAGCGCGCGUAGGUGGUUCAGUAAGUUGGAUGUGAAAUCCCCGGGCUCAACCUGGGAACUGCAUCCAAAACUGCUGAGCUAGAGUACGGUAGAGGGUGGUGGAAUUUCCUGUGUAGCGGUGAAAUGCGUAGAUAUAGGAAGGAACACCAGUGGCGAAGGCGACCACCUGGACUGAUACUGACACUGAGGUGCGAAAGCGUGGGGAGCAAACAGGAUUAGAUACCCUGGUAGUCCACGCCGUAAACGAUG